rnacentral:rRNA from 1 species
CAGCAGCCGCGGUAAUACGAAGGGGGCUAGCGUUGCUCGGAAUUACUGGGCGUAAAGGGAGCGUAGGCGGACAUUUAAGUCAGGGGUGAAAUCCCAGAGCUCAACUCUGGAACUGCCUUUGAUACUGGGUGGCUUGAGUGUGAUAGAGGUAUGUGGAACUCCGAGUGUAGAGGUGAAAUUCGUAGAUAUUCGGAAGAACACCAGUGGCGAAGGCGACAUACUGGAUCAUUACUGACGCUGAGGCUCGAAAGCGUGGGGAGCAAACAGGAUUAGAUACCCGAGUAGUCCCUGUCUCUUAUAC